AAAAAAAUUUUUUAUAGUUUAAAAAUUUAUUAUAGGUUUAUUUUACAUAUAAAUUUUAGUGUUAUAUUUAUUUUAUUUAAAUAAUAUUUUAUUUUAAUUAAAAGUAGUAAUUAAAAUUAAAAAUUUAAGAAAUUAAGAUUUAGUAAUAUUUUAAUUAAUAACUAAUUUUGUGCCAGCAGUUGCGGUUAUACAAAAAUUAAAUUAAAUUUUUUUAGGAAUUAAUAAAUAAUUGAUAAUAAGAUAAGAUUAAAUUUUAAAUUAUUGGGUGAAAUCUUAAUUAAUUAAAAUUUUAUAUUAAAUUAUGAAAUUAAGAAAUUUUAUUAAAAACUAGGAUUAGAUACCCUAUUAUAAAAAAUUUAAGUUAAUAAUACUAAAAUAGUAUGUAAUUAUUUAUAAAAACUUAAAUAAUUUGGCGGUAUUUUAGUUUAUUUAGAGGAAUCUGUUUAUUAAUUGAUAUUCCACGAAUAAAUUUACUUAAUUUAUUUUUUUUUUGUAUAUCGUUGUUAGAAAAAUAUUUUUAAAUAAAAAUAAUAUUUUAAUUUUUUAAAUAAAAAUAAAAUCAGAUCAAGAUGCAGAUUAUAAUUAAGAAUAUAAUGGAUUACAAUAAAUUUAUUUAAGUGAAUAUUAAUUUAAAAAGUUAAUUGAAAUUGGAUUUAAAUGUAAUUUUAUUUAAUUUAUUAAAAUGAUUUUAAUUUAAAAUAUGUACAUAUUGCCCGUCGCUUUCAUUUAUAAAUUGAAAUAAGUCGUAACAAAGUAGAGGUACUGGAAAGUGUUUCUAGAAAGA
rnacentral:ncRNA from 1 species